rnacentral:rRNA from 1 species
UGGGGAAUAUUGGACAAUGGGCGAAAGCCUGAUCCAGCCAUGCCGCGUGUGUGAAGAAGGUCUUCGGAUUGUAAAGCACUUUAAGUUGGGAGGAAGGGCAGUAAGUUAAUACCUUGCUGUUUUGACGUUACCGACAGAAUAAGCACCGGCUAACUCUGUGCCAGCAGCCGCGGUAAUACAGAGGGUGCAAGCGUUAAUCGGAAUUACUGGGCGUAAAGCGCGCGUAGGUGGUUUGUUAAGUUGGAUGUGAAAGCCCCGGGCUCAACCUGGGAACUGCAUCCAAAACUGGCAAGCUAGAGUACGGUAGAGGGUGGUGGAAUUUCCUGUGUAGCGGUGAAAUGCGUAGAUAUAGGAAGGAACACCAGUGGCGAAGGCGACCACCUGGACUGAUACUGACACUGAGGUGCGAAAGCGUGGGGAGCAAACAGGAUUAGAUACCCACGUAGUCCCUGAGCGGGCUGGCAAGGCGCAU